GAUUCAAUUUGCUCAUCAUACUCAGGGUGAGUACAUGUAAUGCAUGGUGGUGAUCUUGCAUUUAGGAGUUUUCUUUCCCAUACAGGAUCUUUCCCUUCCAUUGAAGAAUUAUAUUUGUAAAACAUUAUUGUGGGCAUUUGGAAAUGAGUACUCCCUUGAUCAUCUAUAUCAGAAAUAUGUUUUGUCUCAAAAGUUUGCAGGCCUGAACAUGAGAGGGGGUGUUCAAUUCCACAUCGGUGGGACGAGGGUUUCGUGGUCUUUUUAUAUGGUCUUGGGCAAUCCUUACUUCAUGAGCUAGCUUUUGUGUUUAGUUAGGUCCGAGGUCCAUUUUUAUUAUGGUAUUAGAGGCAGGUUUAUCCCAAUUUAUUGUUAUCGAUAUUGUGUCCCCAUUUAUGUUGUCCAUGCUCCAAAGCAGGCCUGAACGUGAGGGGGAAUAUUGAAUCCCACAUCGGUGGGAUGAGGGUUUCGUGGUCUUUUUAUAUGAUCUUGGGCAACCUCACCUCAUGAGCUAGUUUUGAGAUUGAGUUAGGGUCAAUGUCCAUUUUGUCGUCCUGCAUGACGAUUAUUGGCAAGAAAAAUAUUGAAUAAUCUCAUAAAUGGUCAUUCAACUCUUA